UCUGUCGAUGAUGAUUACUCAACCUACAUUGCUUGAGUUUAACGACCAUGAAAAAACUCACAUGCACUACCAUCUGAGACUGU